rnacentral:rRNA from 1 species
CCUACGGGAGGCAGCAGUGAGGAAUAUUGGUCAAUGGUCGGAAGUCUGAACCAGCCAAGCCGCGUGCAGGAUGAAGGUACUGUGUAUCGUAAACCUCUUUUUUACAGGGACAAACCCUGGUACGCGUCCCCUGCUGAGCGUACCUUACGAAGAAGCAUCGGCUGACUCCGUGCCAGCAGCCGCGGUAAUACGGAGGAUCCGAGCGUUAUCCGGAUUUAUUGGGGUUAAAGGGUGCGUAGGCGGGAUGUUAAGUCAGCCGUGAAAUCCCCGGGCUUAACCCGGGCACUGCCUUUGAUCCUGGUAGUCUAGAGAGGGAGAGAGGUAGGCGGAAUGGGUGGUGUAGCGGUGAAAUGCGUAGAGAUC